AAACUUUCAACAACGGAUCUCUUGGUUCUGGCAUCGAUGAAGAACGUAGCGAAAUGCGAUACGUAAUGUGAAUUGCAGAAUUCAGUGAAUCAUCAAAUCUUUGAACGCACAUUGCGCCAGCCAGUAUUCUGGCUGGCAUGCCUGUUCGAGCGUCAUUU
rnacentral:rRNA from 1 species